UAAGCAUAUCAAUAAGCGGAGGAAAAGAAACUAACAAGGAUUCCCCUAGUAGCGGCGAGCGAAGCGGGAAGAGCUCAAAUUUAUAAUCUGGCACCUUUGGUGUCCGAGUUGUAAUCUCUAGAAGUGUUUUCCGCGUUGGACCGCACACAAGUCUGUUGGAAUACAGCGGCAUAGUGGUGAUACCCCAUUACACGGUGCGGACGCCCAGCGCUUUGUGAUACACUUUCGACGAGUCGAGUUGUUUGGGAAUGCAGCUCAAAUUGGGUGGUAAAUUCCAUCUAAAGCUAAAUAUUGGCGAGAGACCGAUAGCGAACAAGUACCGUGAGGGAAAGAUGAAAAGCACUUUGGAAAGAGAGUUAAAAGUACGUGAAAUUGUUGGAAGGGAAACGCUUGAAGUCAGACUUGCUUGCCGGGCUUGCUCGGUUUGCAGGCCAGCAUCAGUUUUCCGGGGCGGAUAAUGGCAGUUAGAAUGUAGCAGUCUCGGCUGUGUUAUAGCUUUCUGCUGGAUACGUCCUGGGGGACUGAGGAACGCAGCGUGCCGUAUGGCGAGGGCUUCGGUCCUUUCACGCUUAGGAUGCUGGUGGAAUGGCUUUAAACGACCCGUCUUGAAACACGGACCAAGGAGUCUAACAUGCUUGCGAGUAUUUGGGUGUCAAACCCGGAUGCGUAAUGAAAGUGAAUGGAGGUGGGAAGCGCAAGCUGCACCAUCGACCGAUCUGGAUUUUCUAAGAUGGAUUUGAGUAAGAGCACGUAUGUUGGGACCCGAAAGAUGGUGAACUAUGCCUGAAUAGGGCGAAGCCAGAGGAAACUCUGGUGGAGGCUCGUAGCGGUUCUGACGUGCAAAUCGAUCGUCAAAUUUGGGUAUAGGGGCGAAAGACUAAUCGAACCAUCUAGUAGCUGGUUCCUGCCGAAGU
rnacentral:rRNA from 1 species